rnacentral:rRNA from 1 species
AACGUAGUUAAUUUACCUUUUGGAUUGGGAAUAACCACCGGAAACGGUGGUUAAUACCGAAUAAUGCAGCGGCACNUAAUGGUGACAGUUGUUAAAGCGGGGGAUCGCAAGACUUCGCGUCUGAAGAGGAGCCUGCGGCAGAUUAGCUAGUUGGUAAGGUAACGGCUUACCAAGGCGAUGAUCUGUAGCCGGCCUGAGAGGGCGGUCGGCCACACUGACACUGACAUACGGGUCAGACUCCUACGGGAGGCAGCAGUCGGGAAUUUUGGGCAAUGGGCGAAAGCCUGACCCAGCAACGCCGCGUGAAGGAUGAAAUCCUUCGGGAUGUAAACUUCGCAAGAACGGGAAGAAUAAGUAAGAGUUAAUAUCUNCUUACGAUGACGGUACUGUUUGUAAGCUCC